rnacentral:rRNA from 1 species
CAGUCGCCGCGGGAAUACGGAGGAUCCAAGCGUUAUCCGGAUUUAUUGGGUUUAAAGGGUGCGUAGGUGGCCUGUUAAGUCAGGGGUGAAAGACGGUAGCUCAACUAUCGCAGUGCCCUUGAUACUGAUGGGCUUGAAUGAACUAGAGGUAGGCGGAAUGUGACAAGUAGCGGUGAAAUGCAUAGAUAUGUCACAGAACACCAAUUGCGAAGGCAGCUUACUAUGGUUUUAUUGACACUGAGGCACGAAAGCGUGGGGAUCAAACAGGAUUAGAUACCCCAGUAGUCCCUGUCUCUUAUAC